rnacentral:rRNA from 1 species
UAGGGAAUCUUCGGCAAUGGACGGAAGUCUGACCGAGCAACGCCGCGUGAGUGAAGAAGGUUUUCGGAUCGUAAAGCUCUGUUGUAAGAGAAGAACGAGUGUGAGAGUGGAAAGUUCACACUGUGACGGUAUCUUACCAGAAAGGGACGGCUAACUACGUGCCAGCAGCCGCGGUAAUACGUAGGUCCCGAGCGUUGUCCGGAUUUAUUGGGCGUAAAGCGAGCGCAGGCGGUUAGAUAAGUCUGAAGUUAAAGGCUGUGGCUUAACCAUAGUACGCUUUGGAAACUGUUUAACUUGAGUGCAAGAGGGGAGAGUGGAAUUCCAUGUGUAGCGGUGAAAUGCGUAGAUAUAUGGAGGAACACCGGUGGCGAAAGCGGCUCUCUGGCUUGUAACUGACGCUGAGGCUCGAAAGCGUGGGGAGCAAACAGGAUUCNAUACCCUGGUAGUCCACGCCGUANCGAUGAGUGCUAGGUGUUAGACCCUUUCCGGGGUUUAGUGCCGCAGCUAACGCAUUAAGCACUCCGCCUGGGGAGUACGACCGCAAGGUUG